GCCUGGCUGGCUUAGUUGGUAGAGUAUGGGACUCUGGAUCUCGGGGUGUGAGUUCAAGUCUCACACUAGGUG